GGUUUCAUGGUGUAAUUGGUAGCACGCACAGCACAGAGGAAUACGCUGUGAGAUUCAGGUUCAAGUCCUGAUGAAGCCC
rnacentral:tRNA from 1 species